rnacentral:tRNA from 1 species
GGAGUUGGUAGCUCAGUGGUAGAUUGCAUGCUCUGUGUGUAUGAUGUCCUGGGUUCAAACCGCAGCUUCUCCC